UCAGCCGCAGGAACGCCUGAAGGGAGCGGGUCACCGGAUGCCAUGACACUCGGCAAACUGGGCGGCCCUGCAGAGAAGAGCAGAAAACUGCAGAAGAACCCAAACUCAGGACACGAGUUGCUGGAGGAAGCGUGUCGGCAGGGUCUUCCCUUCGCUCAGUGGGACGGUCCCACCGUCGUGGUGUGGCUCGAGCUGUGGGUCGGGAUGCCUGCAUGGUAUGUGGCCGCCUGUCGUGCCAACGUGAAGAGCGGAGCCAUCAUGUCUGCCCUGUCCGACACCGAGAUCCAGCGCGAGAUCGGCAUCAGCAACCCUCUCCACCGCCUCAAACUGCGGCUCGCGAUCCAGGAGAUCAUGUCGCUCACGAGCCCGUCGGCGCCUCCGACCUCCAGAACGUCUUCUGGGAAUGUCUGGCUCACACACGAGGAGAUGGAGAGUUUGGCCGCCACACCGCUCACGGAGGACGAGGAGGGCGGCUGGGCGCAGACUCUGGCCUACGGUGACAUGAACCACGAGUGGAUCGGGAACGACUGGCUGCCGAGCCUGGGUUUGCCUCAGUACCGCAGCUACUUCAUGGAGUCGCUGGUGGACGCGCGGAUGCUGGAUCACCUGACCAAGAAAGACCUCCGCGGCCAGCUCAAGAUGGUGGACAGCUUCCACAGGAACAGUUUUCAGAGCGGUGUGAUGUGUUUGAGACGCCUGAACUAUGACCGGAAAGACCUUGAGCGAAGGCGUGAGGAGUCACAGGUGGAAGUCAAAGAUGUGCUGGUGUGGUCGAACGAGCGCGUGGUCAGCUGGGUUCAGGCCAUCGGGUUGAAGGAUUACGCCAACAAUCUUCUGGAGAGCGGUGUUCAUGGAGCGCUCAUCGCCCUGGACGAGUCCUUCGACCACAACGCCCUGGCUUUGCUUCUGCAGAUCCCGACGCAGUGCACACAGGCGCGAGCGCUACUGGAGCACGAGUACGGUCACCUGAUCGGCGCCGGCACCGAGCGCAGACUGGACGAGGACGACGACAAGAACUUCCGGCGCGCGCCGUCCUGGAGGAAGAAGUUCCGGCCCAAAGACGUGCGCGGGAUGAGCGUGAGCGCCUCGGACACGCUGCCGGCUAGCUUCCGGGUGAGCGCCGGCGACGCCGCUCUGAUGGCCAGGAAGCCGCAGCUGGACGGUGUGAGUGGAGUUCAGCGUCUGGACUCGGCCGCAGUCAGAACAUACUCCUGCUGAUCUGACCAGGUGACGCAGCUGAAGAGCACGAUCCCCGUCAGGCUGGAGUUCCACAUCAUUCCUUUGGGUUUUUCCCGGUUCCAGACCCAUAAUCCCAGAGUCCUGCGGGUUUAUACUUCUAUUUAUUCCUCCAGUCUCUCUAACUCAGUGUUUCAUAUCAACUUCUGCUUGAUUUUAUCUCGUCACCUUUUAAUUCACGCGUCCUAAUCCAGUUCAACUCUUCUAGAUGUAAUUUAUAUAUCACGAGUCCAGAGUAUGUACAUUUAUGUUUGUAGGCAUAAUCUCAUUUUUAUCAUUCUAUAUGAGUAUUUUUAUCGUAUCGGCUACUCAUUGAUUUUGUUUUUAAUCUUCCAGCUAAAAGUACUUUGUGUGUUUGAUCUAAACUCUUAAUCUUCUUUUGUCUCCCUGUUGAUUCUGAGAAAGUGACCCGCGUCAAUGGCAUUGUGUGAAUAUCGGGGUCGGUUCGUGUUUUAUAUCCUGUGAUACCAAAAUCAGACCCGUGGAUAAGCCAUACUUUGUAAUAAUUAUGAGGGCUAUUUUGAAAACAUCUUUCUACAGAUGAGAUAUUGAUGCCGGGAUUCUCUAGCAUCUUUUUGGCUGAAAGUCACUGUUUAUCCAUUCCCUUUGUGCUGCAUUACGUGUGUGUGUUGUGUGUAUGCGUGCAUUUGAGUGAGUGAGUGAAAGUGUGUAUGU